GCCCGGUUAGCUCAGUCGGUAGAGCGCGAGGCUUUUAACCUCGUGGUCGGGGGUUCGAGCCCCCCAUCGGGCG
rfam:Dictyostelium fasciculatum unplaced genomic scaffold Scf_ET2XIPL01COFD4-5, whole genome shotgun sequence.